rnacentral:misc_RNA from 1 species
UUAAAUGAUAGUCUAUCACAAAGAUUUCUUAAGACAAGAUUCAUUUAGAAAUUAAAAUAGACCAACAAUGUAGCAAACCACAGUGCAAAUCUAUUAACUGACAAUUCAAAAACAUUCCAAUAAAGCAGUUGGGAGCAGCAUCAGCUUAGACAUCUACUUAAUCUUCUUCUUCGGCCUCAACUGGUUGCUGUGGCCACACUUCUUCUUACGGCAGUUCACUGCCCUGGGAUGAAGCCUGGCAUAGCACUUCCUGCAAAUCAUCUUCUCCUGGUUGUACUUCCUCGCAAGCGCCAUCAACGAGGGCUCGAUGAUCCCUCCCCUCAACCUCAGCACCAGAUGCAGAGUCGACUCUUUCUGGAUGUUGUAAUCUGCUAGGGUUCGGCCAUCCUCGAGCUGCUUGCCGGCGAAGAUCAGGCGCUGCUGGUCCGGCGGGAUCCCUUCCUUGUCCUGGAUCUUGGUCUUAACGUUGUCGAUGGUGUCGCUG